AUUGAACGCUGGCGGCAUGCCUUACACAUGCAAGUCGAACGGCAGCAUGAUCUAGCUUGCUAGAUUGAUGGCGAGUGGCGAACGGGUGAGUAAUACAUCGGAACGUGCCCUGUAGUGGGGGAUAACUAGUCGAAAGAUUAGCUAAUACCGCAUACGACCUGAGGGUGAAAGUGGGGGACCGCAAGGCCUCAUGCUAUAGGAGCGGCCGAUGUCUGAUUAGCUAGUUGGUGGGGUAAAGGCCCACCAAGGCGACGAUCAGUAGCUGGUCUGAGAGGACGAUCAGCCACACUGGGACUGAGACACGGCCCAGACUCCUACGGGAGGCAGCAGUGGGGAAUUUUGGACAAUGGGCGAAAGCCUGAUCCAGCAAUGCCGCGUGUGUGAAGAAGGCCUUCGGGUUGUAAAGCACUUUUGUCCGGAAAGAAAUGGCUCUGGUUAAUACCUGGGGUCGAUGACGGUACCGGAAGAAUAAGGACCGGCUAACUACGUGCCAGCAGCCGCGGUAAUACGUAGGGUCCAAGCGUUAAUCGGAAUUACUGGGCGUAAAGCGUGCGCAGGCGGUUGUGCAAGACCGAUGUGAAAUCCCCGAGGCUUAACUUGGGAAUUGCAUUGGUGACUGCACGGCUAGAGUGUGUCAGAGGGGGGUAGAAUUCCACGUGUAGCAGUGAAAUGCGUAGAGAUGUGGAGGAAUACCGAUGGCGAAGGCAGCCCCCUGGGAUAACACUGACGCUCAUGCACGAAAGCGUGGGGAGCAAACAGGAUUAGAUACCCUGGUAGUCCACGCCCUAAACGAUGUCAACUAGUUGUUGGGGAUUCAUUUCCUUAGUAACGUAGCUAACGCGUGAAGUUGACCGCCUGGGGAGUACGGUCGCAAGAUUAAAACUCAAAGGAAUUGACGGGGACCCGCACAAGCGGUGGAUGAUGUGGAUUAAUUCGAUGCAACGCGAAAAACCUUACCUACCCUUGACAUGCCACUAACGAAGCAGAGAUGCAUUAGGUGCUCGAAAGAGAAAGUGGACACAGGUGCUGCAUGGCUGUCGUCAGCUCGUGUCGUGAGAUGUUGGGUUAAGUCCCGCAACGAGCGCAACCCUUGUCUCUAGUUGCUACGAAAGGGCACUCUAGAGAGACUGCCGGUGACAAACCGGAGGAAGGUGGGGAUGACGUCAAGUCCUCAUGGCCCUUAUGGGUAGGGCUUCACACGUCAUACAAUGGUGCAUACAGAGGGUUGCCAAGCCGCGAGGUGGUGCUAAUCCCAGAAAAUGCAUCGUAGUCCGGAUCGUAGUCCGCAACUCGACUACGUGAAGCUGGAAUCGCUAGUAAUCGCGGAUCAGCAUGCCGCGGCGAAUACGUUCCCGGGUCU
rnacentral:rRNA from 1 species